rnacentral:lncRNA from 1 species
AAAGAUGAUCAUGGCAGCUCGGACCAGUCAGAGGGCCCUGGCGAGGGUGGCAUCGGGGUGCCAUCCGAAGUCGACCACCGUGACGGAAGCCCCGGCGCGGGGGUCUGCGCGCGACGUCAGGUAGCGAGCGGAGGUUUUCCGGGCGGCGGGUUCGGGACGGGCCUGUGGCCGGGGCGCUGACCCUAGUCGGCUCCGGAGACCCGGGGCGCGGCGCUCGGCCGGCUGGUCUGCGUGCACCUCAUAUUAUCGGGGUGAGUCAGCGACGAGACGGCCGUGGGAGGACGGACAAGCAGCCGGGUCUCCGGCUCCCGCCCUUCCGGUCUCCAAGAGGUGGGCGGCGGCCGUCGGGAAAGUUUAACUGCGCCCGAGAGCGCCGGCUCCCGGGCCGUGGGAGUGCGUGUCCUGGCGGUGAACCGCUUGUCAGACGCUCUCUCACUUGCUGUGGAGUUCUUUGACCCCGGCCACUCAGCGCUUGCAAAAUGAAACACAGCCAACAAAGAGGACCUGUUGUUUUUUUCACUACACUGUAACUUUGAGGUCCUGUAACCUUGAAGAUGGCUCUGUCCUCGGUUUUCCUGCUUGGUCCUUUAGGUGGAGAUGAACCUAGAGACCUGAAGGACACUAUAAGUCUACAAUGCAGUUUUCUAUUACAAAUAAGACUGUAAUAAAGUAUUCUCAAAAAUUAAAAUUAACUCAGAGUGGCGGCUCACACCUGUAAUUUUAGCAAUAAAGUCAAGUAAGUAUCGCGGUGGGUUCAAGGCCAACCCGAACUACAAAGUGAGCCCCUGUCUCAGGACC